CUGCUCGCUUCAGCAGCACAGACUAAAUUAGAAGGACACAGAGAUUAGCUUGGCCCGGUGCGAGGAUAGGGUGCAAAUUCAUGAAGUGUUCCCCGUUUUU
rnacentral:snRNA from 14 species